rnacentral:rRNA from 1 species
UACGUAGGGGGCAAGCGUUGUCCGGAAUCAUUGGGCGUAAAGAGCGUGUAGGCGGCCUGAUAAGUCGGCUGUGAAAGUCAGGGGCUCAACCCUUGAAUGCCGGCCGAUACUGUCAGGCUAGAGUCCGGAAGAGGCGAGUGGAAUUCCUGGUGUAGCGGUGAAAUGCGCAGAUAUCAGGAGGAACACCGAUGGCGAAGGCAGGUCUCUGGGCCACUACUGACGCUGAGAAGCGAAAGCAUGGGGAGCGAACAGG